rnacentral:rRNA from 1 species
GACGAACGCUGGCGGCGUGCUUAACACAUGCAAGUCGAACGGAAAGGCCCCUUUGGGGGUACUCGCGCGGCGAACGGGCGAGUAACACGCGAGUAACUUGCCCUUGCCUUCGGGUUAACUACAGGAAACUGGGUCUAAUACCGGACAGGAAUCCUCGCCUCAUGGAGGGGGUUGGAAAGCUUCGGCGGUUUUGGAUGGAUUCGCGGCUUAUAUGCUGGUUGGUGGGGUAGGGGUUUACCAAGGCUUGGCGGGGUGGCGGGCCGGAGAGGGGGACCGCCCAAAUGGGACUGAGGUAAGGCCCAGACUCCUACGGGGGGGAAGAGGGGGGAAUAUUGGACAAUGGGCGGAAGGCUGAUGCAGCAACGCCGCGUGCGGGAUGACGGCCUUCGGGUUGUAAACCGCUUUCAGCAGGGGCGAAGCUUGUGGUGACGGUACCUGCAGAAGAAGCACCGGCUAACUACGUG